AGCGCGGUCUGAGCGCGCGGCGGCUGCGGCGGCGGACAGACGGACGGACCGCGGACGGACGUACGGACCACAACCCGCGAGCCCCGGGAGCCGUCGGCCUGAGGAGGGGCCGCUUCGCCAUGUCGCCCCGCACCUGCUGAGCCCGGAGCGUCCGAGGAUGUCCGCGCUGAGGAAGGCUUCCUCGCCAUCCGAGGCUUGGCCCUAGCCCUGCGCGGCUUCCCUUGCGGCUGCGAACCCUCUGCCUGCGCCCAGCCCAGCCACAAUGGGGACUGCUCAGGUUUUGCCUGGCAUUCUGCAGAAGCAUUGCUGUAUCUUACCAGACAGGAAUACAGGCCAUCUCCAAACUAUAGUCCCAUUGGGCUGGGGCACCAAAUAUGGAUUUAGGGUGUGUGUAAUUCAGUCCAUAGCACCCACCAAACCACAGAAGCCGCCCCGAGCUGAUGUCCCGCUAUCGGUGAGGCUGCAGGACACUGUCCCAUUGCUGCAUGGAGUCUCUUGCUGUCUGAGCCAUCACCUGAAGCCGGCCCACAUCAUUUUCUUAUUCUACGCAUUGGAGCAAAAAUGUUUAAUUGACUACGAUGGGUGAUUCCUAAAGUUAUAUUUGACUUAGAAAAAAAUGCAUUAGUAAAACUCCCUGUUUGAAUGUUUCUAGUAUUCAGAGCCCAGGUCACUAUCUUUCUAUAAUGACUGGUAUCUGAAAUAAGAACAUGGCCUACAACUUACAGCCUUGCUCUUUCUACUAUAUAAACUUCCCCAAUCAAAUAUUUUUCAUUAAAAAAAAUGUGUUUUUGGAAAUGAACAGUUACAAUCUGG
rnacentral:sRNA from 1 species